rnacentral:rRNA from 1 species
AUUGAACGCUGGCGGCAGGCCUAACACAUGCAAGUCGAGCGGUAGAGAGGUGCUUGCACCCCUUGAGAGCGGCGGACGGGUGAGUAAUGCCUAGGAAUCUGCCUGGUAGUGGGGGAUAACGUUCGGAAACGGACGCUAAUACCGCAUACGUCCUACGGGAGAAAGUGGGGGAUCUUCGGACCUCACGCUAUCAGAUGAGCCUAGGUCGGAUUAGCUAGUUGGUGAGGUAAAGGCUCACCAAGGCGACGAUCCGUAACUGGUCUGAGAGGAUGAUCAGUCACACUGGAACUGAGAAACGGUCCAGACUCCGACGGGAGGCAGCAGUGGGGAAUAUUGGAAAAUGGGCGAAAGCCUGAUCCAGCCAUGCCGCGUGUGUGAAGAAGGUCUUCGGAUUGUAAAGCACUUUAAGUUGGGAGGAAGGGCUGUAGGCUAAUAUCCUGCAGUUUUGACGUUACCGACAGAAUAAGCACCGGCUAACUUCGUGCCAGCCGCCGCCGUAAAAC